rnacentral:rRNA from 1 species
CGACUCUCGGCAACGGAUAUCUCGGCUCACGCAUCGAUGAAGAACGUAGCAAAAUGCGAUACUUGGUGUGAAUUGCAGAAUCCCGUGAACCAUCGAGUUUUUGAACGCAAGUUGCGCCCGAAGCCAUCUGGUUGAGGGCACGCUCGCCUGGGCGUCACG